ACCAGAAGCUGAACCCGGUAAACCUAGUCGUCCGGUCUACGUUCCUCCACCAAGACCACCCCAUCCGCGACUCCGUCGUGAUGCCGACCCGGAAGCUGAACCCACCCGACCGGUCUAUGUCCCUCCACCAAGACCACCCCAUCCGCGACUCCGUCGUGAUGCCGACCCGGAAGCC